CGCCAGACUCCUACGGGAGGCAGCAGUGGGGAAUAUUGCACAAUGGGGGAAACCCUGAUGCAGCGACGCCGCGUGAGCGAUGAAGUAUUUCGGUAUGUAAAGCUCUAUCAGCAGGGAAGAAGAUGACGGUACCUGACUAAGAAGCCCUGGCUAACUACGUGCCAGCAGCCGCGGUAAUACGUAGGGGGCAAGCGUUAUCCGGAUUUACUGGGUGUAAAGGGAGCGUAGACGGCGAUGCAAGCCAGAUGUGAAAGCCCGGGGCUCAACCCCGGGACUGCAUUUGGAACUGUGUGGCUGGAGUGUCGGAGAGGCAGGCGGAAUUCCUAGUGUAGCGGUGAAAUGCGUAGAUAUUAGGAGGAACACCAGUGGCGAAGGCGGCCUGCUGGACGAUGACUGACGUUGAGGCUCGAAAGCGUGGGGAGCAAACAGGAUUAGAUACCCUGGUA
rnacentral:rRNA from 1 species